rnacentral:lncRNA from 1 species
UUCCUGGAGUCUCAUCAGCAGGCCAGGUGUCGGGUCCCCCUGCGCUGGGCAGCCUGCCGAGCUCUUGCGUUUUCAGAAGUUUAUGCAAGACUUAGUUUCCAGGGACCGCUGGUUCUAGGAGAGAUGGUUCGGCCCCGGAUGACAGUCCUGUCUUCUUUGGAAGAAGGUAGCUGUUAGGAAGCACGAAGGGGAGGCGCCCCGUGAACAGAAAGGCGACCUGAAAGAUACCCCUGUGACCUGAACCCUUCCACUAGCGCCUCAGAGCAGAGGCGGAAGAGUCCCAGAGAGGAGAAGACCCCAGCUUUGCAUGGCCGAGCAGUUAUUGAUGCUUCUGCCCAGAGUGAACAAGAUUUGGGGGAUACCGCCUCCUCCAGAAGUUGUCAGAGACUGCGUGUUAUUGGAAAGUUGGACCUGCUUUCAGGAGACCUGAGCCAGGCUGAGACGGGAGGUGCUCUCUCUCUGUCUCUCUCUCUGUCUCUCUCAGUUGUCUUUUCUAGCUAAUGUGUAGAGAGCUUCAGACGAGAGAAUCUGGGAUCUGGGAG